AAAUGCAGCUCAGAGGGAGCGUGUGCUUGUGUGGCUAGGGGGAGGCAUGAACGAAAGUAAGAGUGGGUUGGAGAGGGAGGUGAAGAGAAGAAGAGGGAGAAAAGUUCCCGGCGCUCUAGAGAGACAGGCAAGAAGGGAUGUGAGGAAUGAACGAAAUCCAAGGGAUCAGCUUCCAAGCUAUGAUGAGCCCAAAAAGUGCCAUCGGAAGAAAACAGGCAGCAUGAUCUGGAGAGCAUCCUCUCAAGGGGCUAUUCGAAGGUUAUGGAGAGAUCUCUGCACAGACAAGGGCAAUCAACCGUGUACAUUAAUUUGUUCCUAAUACAGCUACAAGCCGGAAUCCACAGAAAGCUUAGACCUGAAACUUACAGGCAGAGGGGAUUUUUUUACUAAGAAGGGCCUCAAAAAGACCACACCUUGCACCUGCAGAGCAGGACUGGGAAUCCUUCUAUCCAGCUUUCCCAGGAACAUUCCUGCCAUCCCAAGUUGCAAAACCCAGACAACAACAAUCUUCACCUUCCUCUGCUCCCAUCAAUCCAUCCCCGCAAACAAAUGCGGCUAUGGACACUGCUUCCUCCUGUGGCGCCGUCUCCGCCUGUAGCUCUUCGGCACAUGGACCCCGAUGUAGAUUGUGUGAUGGCCUAGAGGACAGAAGCACCCCAAUCACAACACUGAUUUACAGUGUCAGGAGAAUUGACAAUCAUUCUGAACCAAAGUGCCUCAAGCCUGAAGGGAAGACAAGGCGGUGUAGACUUGAAUGAAAGCAAUAUCAUUAAUACUGGAAAAGAGUGAUUUGCCUGAGAGAUCAAAUCUUUCAGCAAUAAAAGAGCUAAGAAGAUAAGACUCUCCUGAUCAGGGGGAUCAGGAGCCCCGGACCCUCCACUUCAAAUACUUAGGUAUGGAUGGAUUUUCAAUUGUAUAUUCAGUUACUUAUUCUGAUUUCUCAGUUCAUAAACACCUUUACGUCCAUC